GCGACCGCCAAUCCCAAGAAUUGACAUGCGGCACAUUGUAGCUUCAGCUGCUCCACGUGAUUAACGUGGUUUUCCGAAUUCGCUGCGGGACCCGCUUGGGCGACAACAAUCACGAAUAAUAACAGGAACACAGUAACAGAAAAGCGAAUCAUUGAUUGAUUUUUUUGGAUCUCUUUCUCCCUUAUCAGUUGUCCAACUCCUCAUGAAACACUCGGUACUCCUGAUUGCAUUGAUGUCACGUAGAAUACAAAAAGAACUCACAAUCACUAUCUUAAAAUUUGGAACUUUGGACAUUCUGAACAGUUCGAAAAUAUCAGCUUUAUAAAUAAUAUACAACAAGAAUAAAUUAAUUCCUUAUGA
ensembl:ncRNA Y66H1A.9 ncRNA